GAGAAAGCCAAUGUACGAACAAGAAAAAAACGUUGUUAUAUGUAUGGCUGAAUACAGGUACGUGUACGAAAUUGUCACAACACCCUCCUAGAUGCUGACCCACUUCAAUGGUGGAGAAUGCAUGCACGCUGUUGGAUAUCAUCCCCUGGCAAAACUUGCAGGCAAAUACUUGUGUAUUUGUGGUUCAAGGUCCUCGUCCGAACGACUUUUAGUGUUGCUAGCAACAUAGUUAGAGCCAAACGGUCAUUAGGCUACUAAAACCGCACAACGUCGAUAUGUUGGUUUUUCUGGCUAAAAACUUGUGAAUUCUAUAAACUUUUGAAUUGUAUAUUUGCUAUGGUUGUUUCCUGUGAUGCUUACACGCGGUAUUCAUAUUGUUUUAUUAAUUAUAAGUCAGAUUAAAUUGACAUAUUCAAUUAUAUACCCAGCGCGCAACAGCUAACUCUAUAAAUACCUACGGUAAUAUAUUACUAAUUACAUAAUGGAAUCUAUCGGUGUUUUGCCAGAACCAAACUAUACACUCUCAUCUCAAAUACUGUCUCUGUUUGGAACACGCUCUACAGUUCGAGAAUGAAGCGAAGAAGAACAACGAGAGGAAGAUAACAUCGAAAAAGGAGAGUGCCACUGUUGUCUGGAAACCGUCAAACAUAACGAACUGCGCCGUUGGCUCGGGGAUAAACGGCCAUUUACCGAGGGCCAUAUCUCAAGCUAUUCUUCUUUUUUUUAAUUUCCACCCUCAACCGAUUUCUUUCUUUGUCUCUAAAAACUAUACUGGUCGCGGACUCGUAAUAAUGCAGCAAACCGUCCAGACAGGGGAACCCUUCACUACGUUCUCUUCACCACCAAAACGCCAUGUUGUGGACAUAUUAUUCACUGUGACUGUUUCAAAACAUGGGCGGAAACCUCAGCUAAUGAUGCAUCAGUACGUUGUGCCUACUGUAGAAAAUUAUAUCCCUACAAAGAACUCUGUUUCCUAUGUUUAAAGAAAAAAAAUAAGCGAUGAACUUUUUACGAAAACGACCUGCUGCCACUUUACAAUACAUACAACAUGUAUAGAAAACCUCCGAAUUGUACUCUCGUUGCUAUCCUUUGAACCCACGCUGGAGUGGGGAAAAGCUACGCCGUGCGGUUGUCUUUGGCUUAAACUAUAAACAUUUAUGUUAGAUUAUAUACAAACAGUUAAAACUAUAUCUUUCCUAGUAAACACAUUAUAUUCUUUCAGAGUUUAAAAAUAAAACUCUUCAAAACUUCUAUCUUCGUUAAUUUAUUCACUUCGUCCGCACACCCCUUCCCCUUAACGCAACAAUAAAUGAACACACAAUGCGAAACAUUUCAAAUAUAUACUUAAAAUCAUAAUGUUACAAAAAAUAAAGUUUUACUUUAUAUGUUUACAACACAAACGUAUUUAGAAGUUUGCUAAACAAGAAAGUUCCG